rnacentral:rRNA from 1 species
GACGAACGCUGGCGGCGUGCUUAACACAUGCAAGUCGAACGGAAAGGCCCUGCUUUUGUGGGGUGCUCGAGUGGCGAACGGGUGAGUAACACGUGAGUAACCUGCCCUUGACUUUGGGAUAACUUCAGGAAACUGGGGCUAAUACCGGAUAGGAGCUCCUGCUGCAUGGUGGGGGUUGGAAAGUUUCGGCGGUUGGGGAUGGACUCGCGGCUUAUCAGCUUGUUGGUGGGGUAGUGGCUUACCAAGGCUUUGACGGGUAGCCGGCCUGAGAGGGUGACCGGCCACAUUGGGACUGAGAUACAGCCCAGACUCCUACGGGAGGCAGUAGUGGGGAAUAUUGCACAAUGGGCGGAAGCCUGAUGCAGCAACGUCGCGUGCGGGAUGACGGCCUUCGGGUUGUAAACCGCUUUCGCCUGUGACGAAGCGUGAGUGACGGUAAUGGGUAAAGAAGCACCGGCUAACUACGUG